UCUUCGGCAAUGGGCGCAAGCCUGACCGAGCGACGCCGCGUGCGGGAUGAAGGCCUUCGGGUUGUAAACCGCUGUCGUAGAGGAGGAAGUGCAGGGGGGUUCUCCCCUCUGUUUGACCUAUUCUAGGAGGAAGGACGGGCUAAGUUCGUGCCAGCAGCCGCGGUAAGACGAACCGUCCAAACGUUACUCGGAAUUACUGGGCUUAAAGGGUGCGUAGGCUGCGCGGAAAGUCGGGUGUGAAAGCCCUCAGCUCAACUGGGGAAUUGCACUCGAAACUACCGUGCUCGAGGGAGACAGAGGUAAGCGGAACUCAAGGUGGAGCGGUGAAAUGCGUUGAUAUCUUGAGGAACACCGGUGGCGAAGGCGGCUUACUGGGUCUCUUCUGACGCUGAGGCACGAAAGCCAAGGUAGCAAACGGGAUUAGAUACCCCGGUAGUCUUGGCUGUAAACGAUGAGCACUUGUUUGAAGGGUCCUCCAUAGCCUUUCAGACGUAGCGAAAGUGUUAAGUGCUCCGCCUGGGGA
rnacentral:rRNA from 1 species